UAAAGACAACCCCUAUUGCAGGACCUUUA
rnacentral:piRNA from 1 species